rnacentral:lncRNA from 1 species
GGUGUACUUAUGGGAGCACGCCAAACCAUGAUCUCUGCUGGUCAUUAUCACAUAAGAUUUACAACGCUGCUGGCGGGUAUAAGACACAGAGGCAUGUGUUGGUCUGGUGAUUGUCACCUGUGGAAGGAUCUCAUUUGAGGAUUCAGUUCAUCACCAUCACUAGCGAUGACUGCCUGAGAAUCAUUUUUAUCCUCUUGCUGCGUGGACUGUACGUGGCAUCUAUUUCGGACGAGACAACAACACUGUUGAUUUAGUGCUUCCAUUUUUAUUAAUGCAUGGGUUUGAUUCUCUCGCCGGAGCAUUUAACGGGGGACAUCCUCUCCAUCCUAAACAUGUUCGCAAAAAGAAAAGGGAAGGAAAGAUGGAAAACCCAGCAUAAAAACAGGAGUCAAAGGCAAGUAAUCAUGUUUAUGGUAGG